rnacentral:misc_RNA from 1 species
AAUUAUCAACCUUGCUUGCUUUUACUAGCUGAGUUAGGCUUGGAUGUGGGGGUUUUGCUGGCUUCCUUCAGUGGAUGGUCUGCUCCCCUUAAAUGCAUUAGUGGGAUCUCUUGUGGACCGUCACUUGGUGUGAUAAUUAUCUAUACCGCUUGGCCUUGAAGCAAAUCUUAUGGGAACCCGCUCAUAACCGUCCGCUUGUCGGACAGCUUUUGACA